CUUUUCGCUGUCUGGAUCAUGAUACUUGCGUUAGAGAUUGGAAAAAAUUACACAAAAACUUGCUCUGGAGCAUAUUGGGCAGUAAAUCUACUCCAGAUCCCAAUAGCUGUAGGAAUGAGUUCAUACCAGGCAAUGAGACUAUAUAAAGGGAAGAGAAGCAUAGCGUCAAAGGGAGAUAAACAACCACGUUGGAGAGUGUGGCAGUUAAUUCUAUUCUGUUGUUGUGGCACACUAGCUGGCACACUUGCCGGUUUGUUAGGCCUUGGUGGAGGAUUCAUCUUGGCACCCCUUUUCCUUGGAAUUGGAAUCCCUCCUCAGGUGGCAAGUGCUACGUCCAUUUUGGCAAUGGCAUUUUCUGCAUCUAUGGCUGUGGUGGAAUAUUACCUUCUCAAACGUUUCCCCAUUCAUUAUGCACUGUGCUUGGUAGGUGUAGCGACUGCAGCGUCACUUGUUG
rnacentral:sRNA from 1 species